CUACGGGCUGCAGCAGUGAGGAAUAUUGCACAAUGGGGGGAACCCUGAUGCAGCAACGCCGCGUGGAGGAUGACGCAUUUCGGUGUGUAAACUCCUUUUAUAUGUCAAGAAAAUGACGGUAGCAUAUGAAUAAGCACCGGCUAACUCCGUGCCAGCAGCCGCGGUAAUACGGAGGGUGCAAGCGUUACUCGGAAUCACUGGGCGUAAAGGACGCGUAGGCGGGUUGGCAAGUCAGGUGUGAAAUCCUACAGCUUAACUGUAGAACUGCACUUGAAACUUCUAAUCUAGAGUAUGGGAGGGGGAGAUGGAAUUAGUGGUGUAGGGGUAAAAUCCGUAGAUAUCACUAGGAAUACCUAAAGCGAAGGCGAUCUCCUGGAACACUACUGACGCUAAGGCGCGAAAGCGUGGGGAGCAAACAGGAUUAGAUACCCCUGUAGUC
rnacentral:rRNA from 1 species